rnacentral:lncRNA from 1 species
UGGUCCAAGACCGUUAUUUUUCCAGCUGAAAAUCAGCAACACAGCCCCCACCCCCUUGGUAAUUAAUUUUCCUCUCUUUCCCCUGAUAAAAGACCAGCCACACACUCUCCCUGGCAGGAGGCAAAAAACGAAGGCACCCCCCGGUGGAUUUCAUUUUUUCUCCCGGGCAGCCACCAUCAGAAAAUCAAGGCAGCCGCCCCCGCCCUUGACAUUUUUGUUUUUCUUUCAACACCGGAACCAGCCCCCUUCCCCGGUUUGAAAUUUAUUUUUUUACUCCCACAACCUCCUGAUUUUCAGCUCAAUCUCAGCCGGUUUUUCCCCCCAUCUUCUUCCCCUUCAACCAAAAUUCAAGGCCUGCACAGGGAAGCCACAAAAAUCCUCUCCCUUCUCCUUCAAAACCGAACAGCCCCCUCCCCGUUUUCAUUUUCUUUUCUUCCCCAAACCAGCACCACCCACAACACCGAUCGACCUCUCCCUUUCCCCAAGACUAGCAGCUCCAUUUUCCUUUCCAGCAACACGCCGAACACUCCCCUCUUUCGGCCAUUCCUUCUUCCCAGCUCUCAUAGCCGGACACGGCGACGCCUCCUCCAACAAGCAACACGCCGGACAGAAGCCAGAGCAGUUCCCCUUCGCUGUACCAUCUCGCCGUUUGCAUCGCCAUCUUCCCCGACCUCUCCUCUCCGUCCAGCCUCCGACAGCAGCAGCGACCACCACAGCAAACCCCAGCAGCGCCGUCCACAGACCGGCAGCCACCACCACAGACCAGCCACAACUCCGCCGUCCGAAGAUCCAGCAACCAGCAGAGGAACGAAGACAGAGGCGAGAUCGAUCUGAAGAAGGAAAAGAACCGAUCUGUUUCUGCAGAUCAAAAAGAAGCAGAUCUGUAACGGGAAGAAAAAUAAAAACCGAUUGCUGUUUGUGAGUUUUUUUUGUUGUUGCAGGUGGCGGUGAUCUUCACCGCCGGCGAGGAAAGGAAGAGGAGAAGGAGCCGCUCCAGCCCCCCUCUGUUUUUCAGGUUUCCAUCGGCGGCCACGCGCCGCCAGUGACGGUGGCGCGUGGGAAGACGCGCCACCACUGCUCCGAACACUGUUCCUGCGUAUUCCAGAAGCCUAUGGAUGUUUACGGACUAUUUCUGUAAAUUUUAAAUUAAUUAAUGUAAUUUUUGUUCAUUUGUUUGGAAUUUAGAUUGUAUAAAUGUGAUUAAAAA